GACGAACGCUGGCGGCGUGCUUAACACAUGCAAGUCGAACGAUGAAGAAGAGAAACGCGAACUUCGGUUCAAAUUUCACUUCGGAUUAGUGGCAGACGGGUGAGUAACGCGUGAGCAACCUACCUCUUACAAAGGGAUAGCCUCGGGAAACCGUGAUUAAUACCAUAUGACACAUUCAUAAGGCAUCUUAAGAAUGUUAAAGCUACGGCGCUAAGAGAUGGGCUCGCGUCCCAUUAGCUAGUUGGUGAGGUAACGGCCCACCAAGGCGACGAUGGGUAACCGGCCUGAGAGGGUGAACGGUCACAUUGGAACUGAGACACGGUCCAAACUCCUACGGGAAGCAGCAGUGGGGAAUAUUGCACAAUGGAGGGAACUCUGAUGCAGCGACGCCGCGUGAGCGAUGAAGGAAUUCGUUUCGUAAAGCUCUGUUCUAUGGGAAGAAAAGGACUGUACCAUAGGAGAAAGCCCCGGCUAAAUACGUG
rnacentral:rRNA from 1 species